rnacentral:rRNA from 1 species
GUGCCAGCCGCCGCGGUAAUACGAAGGGGGCUAGCGUUGCUCGGAAUCACUGGGCUUAAAGGGCGCGUAGGCGGCUCACCAAGUCAGGGGUGAAAUUUUGCGGCUUAACCGUAACGGUGCCUUUGAUACUGGUAGGCUCGAGGGGGACAGGGGUCCGCGGAACUUCUGGUGGAGCGGUGAAAUGCGUUGAUAUCAGAAGGAACGCCGGUGGCGAAAGCGGCGGACUGGAUCCUUUCUGACGCUGAGGCGCGAAAGCUAGGGGAGCAAACGGGAUUAGAUACCCCGGUAGUCCUAGCCCUAAACGUUGGGUACUAGAUUGUAAGCGUACAUGCGCCUACAGUCGAAGCAAAAGUGUUAAGUACCCCGCCUGGGGAGUAUGGUCGCAAGGCUGAAACUCAAAUGAAUUGACGG